rnacentral:rRNA from 1 species
AAGGGCACCACAAGAACGUGGAGCAUGUGGCUUAAUUUGACUCAACGCGGGAAAUCUUACCGGGUCCGGACACACUGAGGAUUGACAGACAGUAUUCAUGCCGACUGAAUUUCGACAUAUUUCAAAUGUGCGAGUUCUUUCAUGAUUGUGUGAUAGGUGGUGCAUGGCCGUUCUUAGUUCGUGGAGUGAUCUGUCUGCUUAAUUGCGUUUCAUAUUUACGAAUGUCGCUUACGUGAUUGCUGCAGACCUCGUCUCUUUAUUGAGUGCGACGCGUCUCUUCAACUCACUCGCACAUUCUCUUGAACGCAACGAGCGUGACCGCAACCUCUUGUUGUGUAUACCAAGUGUGUCGCUGGCUUUACUGCCAGCUCGCACUCCAAUGCACGUAUUUUGGUCACAUUGUCUCGGCCGUCGCACGCAGCCUCGGCUGUGUCGGCGCCAGCAAUGUCCAAAUAAACUUGAGGGACCGCUGUAACAAUUCUUUUAAACCAGAGGAAGGUUGCGGCAAUAACAGGUCUGUGAUGCCCUUAGAUGUCCCGGGCUGCACACGUGCUACAAUGAUCAGUACAGUGAGCAUCUUUGCAAUACCAGCGUUUGGAGGCCUGGCCAUGUCACUUGUGACUCGGCUUGCAGUCUCUACGUUGCCUUCCCAAGUCUGACAAGAUUUGGAAAUCCAUUGGAAGUCCUGAAUCAAUCCCUAUUGAGCAUUUUUCUCUACAGUGGCGCCAGACUUCGUCCCAUGUCGGUUCGCCUGACUUGUGCGGCACUUGGCGUCUACUAUAUGCAAUUGUCAAUUCAUAGUGGGGACAGA